rnacentral:lncRNA from 1 species
UUGUAAAUGAGAAUAACCAUUUUAUUCUUUUUAUUUGCACUAUAUCUGCAAGGCUGAACACAAAAAUCCAUGAGAUGUGGAACAGUUUGAUAUACCAAAGAAUUCUGCUUAUUGUGAUAGAACAUCGUUUAUUAAGCACCACAUCAGGUAUCCUGAAAAAUUUAUCUCGUCUCAGGUGAUGCUCAUGACACUAGUGUGGAGUUGAGUUUCUUGGAGAAGAUCCAGUCAACACGUGCUUCAAAUUCCUCCAGAGCAGGACUGGCUUUGCCAUGCUUUACAUCAAUCUUCAGCCUGUAGUCUGGGCAUUCAAUAAAUAUUUGCUGACCUGAUUCUGUGGAGGAAGCUGGGGUUUAGUGUUUCCUGGAACUAUGGCUAUGAUGAUGCAUUGGACUAUUGGGAGUACGAAGUGUAAACUUCUUCAUCACGGUCCCGGGACAGUCCGCAGCUCCAGACACCAUAUUUUCCAAGUGUAUGUGCAAAGUGACAGCUGCUGGAGGAAGACUGCAAGGGAAAGGAAAUCAGACGUGCCCGAACUGGGCACAUCUCCUGCUUACCUGCCUGGGAUUAACAUUCAAAGGACAACUGCAGAGAGGCCAACUCAGAACAAGUCUGUCUGCACCCAGUCCAAGGAGG